rnacentral:tRNA from 1 species
AAAUAAGAAACAAUCUAUUGUAUUUAGUUUCGACCUAAAAGUUAGAUGAUACUCUUCAUCCUUAUUUA